GCAAGUGCGGUGCAAUGGUUUGAGCGUUGGACUAUGACUCUGAAGACCAGGGUUCAAUUCCCACAUUGGCC